GACGAACGCUGGCGGCGUGCUUAACACAUGCAAGUCGAACGGAAAGGCCCUGCUUUUGUGGGGUGCUCGAGUGGCGAACGGGUGAGUAACACGUGAGUAACCUGCCCUUGACUUUGGGAUAACUUCAGGAAACUGGGGCUAAUACCGGAUAGGAGCUCCUGCUUCAUGGUGGUGGUUGGAAAGUUUCGGCGUUUGGGGAUGGACUCGCGGCUUAUCAGCUUGUUGGUGGGGUAGUGGCUUACCAAGGCUAUGACGGGUAGCCGGCCUGAGAGGGUGAACGGCCACAAGGGGACUGAGAUACGGCCCUGACUCCUACGGGAGGCAGCAGUGGGGAAUAUUGGACAAUGGGCGGAAGGCUGAAGCAGCAACGCCGGGUGCGAGAAGACGGCCUUCGGGUAGUAAAACGGUUUCGCGUGUGACGAAGCGUGAGGGAGGUUACUGGAGAAGGAAGCACCGGCAAACUACGG
rnacentral:rRNA from 1 species